GGCGCAUUGGCUCACCGGAGGCAAGCUUUCAGGAGCAGCCUUCAAACCACCUUACGGUGCUGGAUGAGUAAUCAUCUGGUAUUGAGCGGUUAAGGAAAAGGCUCUGAUUAGGAGUCAGGU
rfam:Fulvivirga imtechensis AK7 contig3, whole genome shotgun sequence.